UGAGAAAGAGAUUACAAAUUGUGUUCAGAUUGGUUUGUUGUGUGUGCAAGAAAUUGCAAGCGAUAGACCAAAUGUGUCAACCGUGAUUUGGAUGCUAACUACCGAGAACACUAACCUUCCUGAGCCGAAGCAGCCUGCGUUUAUAGCAACAAGAAGAGUUUUCGAGGCUGAAUCUUCUGGCCAGAGCAGUCAAAAGGUCUCCAUCAACGAUGUGAGCCUCACAACUGUUACCGGACGUUAAGCUCACACAAGCCAUUUUGUAUGUUUAUUUUUACCAGUGGGUGUUUAGUAACUUAUGCUUAAGCCUUGAAACUUUUGUAAAUUUGAUCUUUUUAAAGGCGUGGAAGCUAUGGAAUGAUGGCGAGACUGCUUCUCUAGCAGAUCCAACCAUCUUUGAUGAGUGUUUUGAGAAAGAGAUUACAAAUUGUGUUCAGAUUGGUUUGUUGUGUGUGCAAGAAAUUGCAAGCGAUAGACCAAAUGUGUCAACCGUGAUUUGGAUGCUAACUACCGAGAACACUAACCUUCCUGAGCCGAAGCAGCCUGCGUUUAUAGCAACAAGAAGAGUUUUCGAGGCUGAAUCUUCUGGCCAGAGCAGUCAAAAGGUCUCCAUCAACGAUGUGAGCCUCACAACUGUUACCGGACGUUAAGCUCACACAAGCCAUUUUGUAUGUUUAUUUAAUAUAUAUAUGAACUCCUAUGUUCCCAAAUUUUUGUUAUCUUGCUUAUGUUUAAUUGUUAGAUUAAAGAAUAAAAGAUGUAUUUCAGAGAAGUUAUGUUCAGAUUCACUAAUUACAGAUUUGGUAUUAUUUAC
rnacentral:lncRNA from 1 species